AAAAAAGGAAAUUUUAGGGUUAGAAAAGAAAGUCUCUUCCUCUCUCGCGGCGAACAGAAUCGGCGCCGUCCCUCUUCUGCCGCCGUCUUCGUUCCACUGUCUCUUCUUCGGCGAUCUCUGGAGAUUAACCACCAUCAGACAAUUUCGUCUGCCGUUUCAACCUUAUUUUUCCAAUCCAUCCUUUAUUUCGUGUCAAGGUCCGACGUCGUUUCGCUUUGCCUUCAUCAAUCAGCCUUUACUUCACACGAUUCGAUCGGUUCUCCUUCUGAUUCCGUAGCACCGCUGCGAUUCGAUUUGUCCUUCUCUCCGCUUAUCAUCAUCCUAUCCUCUCCUUGGUUCGUUCUACUUCUUCAUCUCUAUCGAAGAUCAUCCGAUGCGAAUUCGUCGACGAAGAAAAGGGUAGAAAACCAGAGAUACCGAAGUGUAGUUCAGGU